rnacentral:rRNA from 1 species
CCUACGGGGGGCUGCAGUAGGGAAUAUUGGACAAUGGGCGAAAGCCUGAUCCAGCCAUGCCGCGUGAUAGAUGAAGGCCCUCUGGGUUGUAAAUAUCUUUUAUCUGGGAAGAAACAAUCUUAUUCUUAAGAUCUUGACGGUACCAGAGGAAUAAGCACCGGCUAACUCCGUGCCAGCAGCCGCGGUAAUACGGAGGGUGCAAGCGUUAUCCGGAUUCACUGGGUUUAAAGGGUGCGUAGGCGGGCUGGUAGAAAGUCCCGACCUAAAUUUGGAACUGCCAUUGAUACUGCCAGUCUUGAAUGUCGUAGAGGUAAGCGGAAUGUUGCAUGUAGCGGUGAAAUGCUUAGAUAUGUUACAGAACACCAAUUGCGAAGGCAGCUUACUAUGCGAUGAUUGACGCUGAGGCACGAAAGCGUGGGGAGCAAACAGGAUUAGAUACCCCGGUAGUC